ensembl:lncRNA
ACGGAACAACCCACCCAGACCUGUCCCAUAUUGUGUACUGGUCCCAACAUACCCUCCGAGCUCUCCACCAGCCUGUGAUAAGUAGUAUUUUACAUAUUUUGAGUCAUCAGUGUUGUAGACGGCCAUCCUUUUUUUUUUUUUCAAAAAUGCUGGGUUAUCGGUCGGAAGUGUAACUUGACAAACACUUUGCCAUAUAAAAAGGGUAUGUGUUGAUUUCGAUCGUCUUUCAAAUCAAUUUCUAUGUCGUCGAUUAAUGUCUUUGACACAGGUGUGUAGUGUGGGCUGUCAAAUUGUAGAAUAGGCAAGCGGCGGUCAUCGUCUGUAAUAUUUAUAGCUCUUAAUAACCUCGCGUGGGCGUCACCCACAAGCUGGUAAUCAACGAUAUCUGCAUAAAUAAAGAUGUUAUAUUUUCCCCCGUAUAUGUCUGCGGGGUGUGGGGCAUAUGUGUUUUUAUAAUGAAGUACAAACGGGUCUCCUGUUUUGAAUCCUAGGAUUUCCGCCAGUCUCCCUUUAAAUGUGAGAAUAGUCCCCCUAGGCCCCAUAACACAGGCAUGGUUACUAACUGCGUUGUACUGCAUUUUAAUGUCUCCAGUGGCUUGGUGCUGCUGACAUUUAAAAUUAAAUUCUUUUAUUAUCUGUUCCACAGAUGCAUAAUGGCCCACAGACAGUUCGAUCGUGGUUACGGCUAAGGUUCCAUCUUUGACUGGGUCCUGAAUUUCCACUUCCGAAUCUGAUUGUGGAAAAGUCCGCCAUAUGCGUGGUUUCACAGGGAUCCUACCCUCACUAAGUAUAUCCUCAAAAGCAGCUGAUACAACAGUCCCUGUGUCAUGGUCCCUGUGCCUCCCCGGCCAGCCCAGUGUGGCCACAAGUGUUUGUUGUUUUUCUCUCACUCUGUCUCUCCUACCUGUCUGCCUGGGCGGAGCUCUGAUUGGGCUCCUGCCCUUGGCCCACGCACCUGCAGCUGAUCUCGAGCGGAUUGCAGUUCUCUGGCUCUUAAGGCUGGGGCUCUGAGCUGUUCGUCGCUGGAAUAUUGAGUAACUCUCGUUUACCUGGAUCAGCCCUUUUGUGACCCCUGGACCCCGUGAGUAGGAGAGUGAGCUGAGCUGCUUGUGUGGAGACUGUUUGGACGAGGAGCAGAGCGAGUGCGAAGAAGUGUGUCUCCCCAGCCAAGUGAUCCCCGGGACCCUGGUGUUUCCCCCCCCUUCACGUGUAUAUAGUGCACCAGUGUGAUUAAUAAAGUGUUGUUGAACUGUGCU